CAGAGCUCUUAUAAUAUUUAUAAACUCGAAUAAUUAAUAAACGCGUUGAUGCGUUCUGUACUUUGUGGCCACAUACAACGUGUCUAUUUAAGUUGGCAACAUAUGAAAAACUUUUUUGUUAUUCAUUUUACGAAAAAAAGUACUUUACUCUUGAGCGAAAUUCAAAUAUGUUGACAUACCUCGUAUAGGAUUAAUAAAAUUUUAUCUGAUGGUUGGAUAUUAGGUUUGUAUGCAGAAAUUUGUAUAAAAAAUGACUUUUGUUCGUAAAAUUAAUAAUAAAAAAGUUCACAUUAUGUGGUCAACUUAAGCAGACACGCUGUAUAUUUAUGUGUGAAUAUUAGUUUUCAUUUUAAGCGCGCACAAUUUGACUUAAAUUUCUACCUUUAUAAUAUCUUUAGUAUAUAUUUCUAGCAAGUUUCAUUAGUAAUGGUAGAAGGUUGAUACAAGCAUUAAAUAUUUGCUAACACAUGUUAGCUCUUGUAACUGGGUAUGUUUAGUUGGAAGAAUGUUUAUAAUAGCUGUCAGACCGAUUCCUAUAUACCUAAUUGUUUGAAAUAUGGCAAACGAAAAUUAAGGAGGAAACCGGUAGAAAUUAUCAAGGGAAUGACAAUUCAAAUAAUCAUUCACAAUUUAAGAUCACAUAGAUAUUAAAGAUUUCAUCAUGAAUCAAAAGACUACAUUCACACUACAGAUACAACGUAGUAGAACUCCAGGUUCAGAGUUGGUACGAAAUUGGAUAUUCGGAUCAACUAAAGUCUAACUAAUAAAAGGUAAUAAAAUGUGAUGUAACAAAAAUGGAAGUACUGGUAGUAAAGACUGUUUUAACUGCAGUUAAACUGUAGAGUGAAGUAUUUCCUUCCAAUAUAUUUUUACGAAUUAUUAAGAGGUAUUUACUAGGGUAAUUAAAAAACAAAUUAUGCUGUAAAUUUUUUUAUAGGUUUUCAAUCUAUUGCCCAACACAGCUUAAGCUAUUCCAGAACAGAUGACCGAAUAUCACUUUAGCAGUGGCAGUAAUAUGCGCAAAUUAAAAAGGAGAGAGUAUGGCGUAACAACGAAAGUAAAUAUUAUUGCGUGCUGCUAAGAGAAAAGAGCUUCCCCAUUUCCUGGCCUAUCAAAAGCCAUUACCCAUCUCAUGGUCAGAUACAAAGUGGAUUUGGGCUGCCUGUAUGUAUUUAUAUUCUUUUUCUUCAUAUUUACACUAUUUAUUACAACUUCUCUAGGGCCCACCCAUUUAAAAGCAGAAAUCUAUAAGAAAAUGCAUACAAUUUAAAAUUUUGAAUGAUUCAUACUACAUCCCAAGGAUAUUAGAGGCAAUAUUCAGGGAGAACGGGAUCAGAACGCAAGGUACGAUCUAUGAUAGAAGAACUCAGGUACUUGCAUAUGCAGAUGACAUAGUAUUGAUAACAAGAACAAAAAGAGAACUGCUAAGAGUAUUUAA